rnacentral:rRNA from 1 species
CGCGUAGGCGGGCGGUCAAGUCUGUGGUGAAAUCCUUCGGCUCAACCGGAGAAUAGCUGGAGAUACUGGCCGUCUCGAGGGGGGUAGGGGCAUGUGGAACUUCCGGUGGAGCGGUGAAAUGCGUAGAUAUCGGAAGGAACGCCGGUGGCGAAAGCGACGUGCUGGACCCUUUCUGACGCUGAGGCGCGAAAGCCAGGGGAGCAAACG